rnacentral:tRNA from 11 species
UCAGUAGCUCAGUUGGUUAGAGUGCCGGCCUGUCACGCCGGAGGUCGAGGGUUCGAGCCCCUUCUG